GAUGAACGCUGGCGGCGUGCCUAAUACAUGCAAGUCGAGCGAACGGACGAGAAGCUUGCUUCUCUGAUGUUAGCGGCGGACGGGUGAGUAACACGUGGAUAACCUACCUAUAAGACUGGGAUAACUUCGGGAAACCGGAGCUAAUACCGGAUAAUAUUUUGAACCGCAUGGUUCAAAAGUGAAAGACGGUCUUGCUGUCACUUAUAGAUGGAUCCGCGCUGCAUUAGCUAGUUGGUAAGGUAACGGCUUACCAAGGCAACGAUGCAUAGCCGACCUGAGAGGGUGAUCGGCCACCCUGGAACUGAGACACGGUCCAUACUCCUACGGGAGGCAGCAGUAGGGAAUCUUACGCAAUGGGCGAAAGCCCGACGGAGCAACGCCGCGUGAGUGAUGAAGGUCUUCGGAUCGUAAAACUCUGUUAUUAGGGAAGAACAUAUGUGUAAGUAACUGUGCACAUCUUGACGGUACCUAAUCAGAAAGCCACGGCUAACUACGUG
rnacentral:rRNA from 1 species